AACCCACCAUGCACAGGGAGAACAUGCAAACUCGAUGCAGAAAGACCUCGGGCCAGGAAUCGAACCCAGAAGAAAACUCAACUAGCAACUUAAGGAUUCCAGCCCUAAAAUGUAAAAAUUCUCACAGAAACAGAAAACUUAUAGACACCGUUUAUAAGCAAAGACAACUUGUUUUGGGCUUAGUUUCCAUUUAUGUGGCCAUUGUAAAGUGAUUAAAGUUAAUGUCAAACUAAUUUGAGAAAAUGUGUAAAUCCAUGUAAAGAGUAAAGUUUAGAAGGAUUUUAAAAUAUGACAGUCACCACACUAGUUUUCAGUUUUCAAGUGUACACGCUUUGACUUCAUUUCUUAUUUUGUUUUUAAAAUUGUUUUUUUUUCUCCUUUUCUUAUUUAGGUUGGUGGUAAUGUAGUACCCAAAAUCAAUCCCUGGGCGUAGAACUACUGCGCGGAAAAAUCUGGGAUGAUACCUGGGAACCUGCAAGUAAAUCCUCUCAUGUUGCUGUCCACCAAGUGCCACUUCCUUCAGACAGCGAACAAGUCCUUCCAUGAUGUUACUUUUUCUUUUUUGUAUUACAAAGUAUUAAUUUCUUUUCUUUUUUUUUACUGCAGUUUGACCAUUUUACGAAGUUCUCUGUGUAAUAUUGUUUUCGGCCAUUCACUGAAAUGAAUGUUAUGGUUGUAAUAUAUGUAAGCUUAUGUUGGGCUGUUUACUGACACAUUUUUGUCAAGUUCUGUUAAAGACUAAGUGAGGCUGAUUGAGUCACUGCAUCAGGCAGGUAUUGUGCCUGUAUUAAGUCUUGAAAUUUAGAACAGAAUUGUUUGUAGAUUUUGUUCAGUAAAUAUGACCUAAAGUCUUAAAAACUUUAAACAUGGUAUUGUACACAUUUCUUUUUGAGUGUUUUUAAUGUUGAUGUGGAUGUACAAAGUAAAGUCUAUAAAAAUACAUAACAAAAUAAGCACAACUUGAUUUUAAUAACUAAAUGGAAGUGUUUUUUUUUUUUAACUCAAAAAGCUAUUAUUUUAAUAUUAUCUUUUUUGUGUCAUGGAUUUUGUCAAUCAAGAAUGUAUUUGCAAAAUGCUAUAAUAAAAUUGCUUUCAAAUGCA